rnacentral:misc_RNA from 1 species
AUAUUGCUCGCACAGCAGAUUCUGAACGGACUGCUCGACGGCGUUUACUACCUUCUGAUCGCGCUCGGGCUGUCGCUGAUUUUUUCCCUCGGCGGAAUCGUCAAUCUUGCACACGGCGCGUUCUUUGCUAUCGGCGCAUACCUCACGCUGGUGAUCUCACCCUAUCUCGGGUUCAGCGGGGCGUUUGUGUUGUCGCCGGUGGCGGUGGCGUUG